UACGUAGGCAGCGAGCGUUGUUCGGAGUUACUGGGCGUAAAGGGUGUGUAGGCGGUUUUUUAAGUUUGGUGUGAAAUCUCCCGGCUCAACCGGGAGGGUGCGCCGAAUACUGAGGGACUAGAAUGCGGGAGAGGAAAGUGGAAUUCCUGGUGUAGCGGUGAAAUGCGUAGAUAUCAGGAGGAACACCGGUGGUGUAGACGGCUUUCUGGACCGUAACUGACGCUGAGACACGAAAGCGUGGGUAGCAAACAGG
rnacentral:rRNA from 1 species